UAAAGAGGUACGCGAGCUGGGUUUAGAACGUCGUGAGACAGUUCGGUCCCUAUCUACCGUGGGCGCUGGAAAUUUGAGAGGAUCUGCUCCUAGUACGAGAGGACCAGAGUGGACGAACCUCUGGUGUACCGGUUGUGACGCCAGUCGCAUCGCCGGGUAGCUAUGUUCGGAAGGGAUAACCGCUGAAAGCAUCUAAGCGGGAAGCCUACCUCAAGAUAAGAUUUCCCUAGGACUUUAUGUCCUCUAAAGAGCCGUUCGAGACUAGGACGUUGAUAGGUUGGAUGUGGAAGCAUAGUGAUAUGUGAAGCUGACCAAUACUAAUUGCUCGUGAGGCUUGACUAUACAACACCCAAGCAGUUG
rnacentral:rRNA from 1 species